rnacentral:rRNA from 1 species
AGGGAAUCUUCCACAAUGGACGAAAGUCUGAUGGAGCAACGCCGCGUGAGUGAUGAAGGGUUUCGGCUCGUAAAACUCUGUUGUUGGAGAAGAACAGGUGUGAGAGUAACUGUUCACAUCUUGACGGUAUCCAACCAGAAAGCCACGGCUAACUACGUGCCAGCAGCCGCGGUAAUACGUAGGUGGCAAGCGUUGUCCGGAUUUAUUGGGCGUAAAGCGAGCGCAGGCGGUUUUCUUAGGUCUGAUGUGAAAGCCUUCGGCUUAACCGGAGAAGUGCAUCGGAAACCAGGAGACUUGAGUACAGAAGAGGACAGUGGAACUCCAUGUGUAGCGGUGAAAUGCGUAGAUAUAUGGAAGAACACCAGUGGCGAAGGCGGCUGUCUGGUCUGUAACUGACGCUGAGGCUCGAAAGCAUGGGUAGCGAACAGGAUUAGAUACCCUGGUAGCCCAUGCCGUAAACGAUGAGUGCUAAGUGUUGGAGGGUUUCCGCCCUUCAGUGCUGCAGCUAACGCAUUAAGCNCUCCGCCUGGGGGAG